UUAUUUAUUUUUUUAAACUUCUGCAGACUCACCUUGAUUUAAACAAAAUUGGGGAAAAGUUCCAAUCAGGGUUCAAACUGCGACACAGCACUGAAACCACCCUUUUAAAAGUUUUUAACGACCUUCUUUUAACUGU